rnacentral:rRNA from 1 species
GCCCGAUGAACCUGAAUAUCCAUUAUGGAAAAUUCAUCAUUAAAAUUGUAAUAUUUAAACAAUAUUAUGAGAAUAGUGUGCAUUUUUUCCAUAUAAGGACAUUGUAAUCUAUUAGCAUACACAAAUUUAUCAUAAAAUAUAGCUUAUAGUUUAUUCAAAUUAAAAUGCUUGCGUUUUAACACAGAUUAAAUGUCAUUAAUUUGAUAAAGUGUUGAUAGAUUUAUAUGAAUACAGUGCGUUAAUUUUUCGGAAUUAUAUAAUGGCAUAAUUAUCAAUGAUUUUUGUGUUUAUUAUAAGCACUUGUAUGAUUAACAAUGCGAAAGAUUCAGGAUACUUCGGG